CUGGGUUCGGCAAGGUGUGAAGGUGGGUGCCGUGCGAGCGGCGUGAUUGUGAAGAGCUCCGUGUCUACCCACAAAGAAACAUCACAGAAGCAACGCCAAAACUGCACAUGAAAGAAGCUGAGGUGACAAGGAGGGUAGAGUCACCGUCAGAGGACGUGAAUAUUCUUCACUACGGUUCGAUGAAUCCCUGGAUGUAAUGCAAACAGCUCAGCUUGUUGUAUUUGUCAGAAUGGCUUUCCAGGAUUUUACAGCAAAGGAGGACUUCCUCACUCUUUUGCAAUUAAAGGAAAGAACGAGAGAAUCAGCUAGUGCUCCAGGUGCCAAGACGGUGGUUCAAGUUUACGUGAUAAAGCAGUCAAAAUCAUCAUGAACUUUUCAUAUCGUUCUGUCUGGUUAACUUGUGCUCCUUUGCUUCC